UUUGAACCAUGUUCAAAUAAAGCAAACCCUGAGCUGUAACAAAUCCGCUGCCUCUGUCCCUCACUUCCUCUUUCUGUUCAUAAACAUUCUUCCACGACGUGCUGUGCUGGAAUCCCUGAGCCUGCUCUGGCCUGGGAGGCUGCCUGAUUUGGUCAUUACAGAUGUAAUGAAGGAUCUCCAAUUGAAUCCGUCCAAGGAUUAAGGUGGGCCCUGAAUCCCAUAGACUGGUGUCCUCAUAAGAAAAGGUGAGGACAAAGAGAGACACAGAGACACACAGAUAGCUAUGUGAAGAUGGAAGCAGAGGUUGGGGAUCUGCUGCCACAAACAAAGGCACCCCAAGUAUUGCCAGCAACCACCAGAAGCAAGGAGAAAGGCAUGGGACGCUUUCUCCAUCAGAGUCUCCGGAAGGAACCAAGCUUACUGACACCUUGAUUUUGGACUUCUAGCCCCCAGAACUUCAAGAUAAUACAUUUCUGUUGUUUAAAGCCAUGUGGUUUGUGGUAAUUUGUUAUGACAGUGCUAGAAAACUUAUACAAACCCUCCAAGGCAGAAAUAAACAUGGGCACAACACUGCUACCCAAUCCACAGAUCCCAUUCAAAUUUUGCUGGCUCAGCCCAUCAUGUCUCUUUUCCCUUUCAGGUCCAGGAUCCAGUCCAGGAGCAUGCAUUACAUUUAGUUGUCACAUGUCCGAAUAGAAGGAAGGAGAUUCCCUUCAAUAUGGAAUAAUUUCUUAGUCUUUCCCUGUCUUCCACAUCCUUCCGUUUUUUGUUUUUGUUUUUAUUUUGAGACAGUCUCACUCUGUCACCCAGGCUGGAGUACAGUGGGGUGAUCAUGGCUCACUAUAGCCUUGACUUCUCCAGGCUCAGAACAGAGUUUCAAGUUGCUCAGGCUGGUCUCAAACUCCUGGGCUCAAGUGAUCCACCCACCUUGGCCUCCCAAAGUGCUGGGAUUACAGGCACGACCCACUGCAACUGGCCCCACAUCCUUCAGUUUUUAAGAGUGCAGGCCUUUUGUUAUGUAGGAUGGCCCUAGACCUGGUUCCAUCUAAUAUUUCAUUUUGGUCAGACCUCGCCAUGAUUUCUUGACAGGAAAAUGAUGGACAGGAUCCUGGGCUCUGCACAUUACAGCAUAUGAUGUGGUCUUGUCUCAUCACUGGUGAUGUUAAUCUUGAUUGCUUGGUCAUGUUGGUGUCUUCCAUAUUUCUCCUCCAUUGAGUCACCAUUUUCACCUUUGCAAUUGAUAAGCAUUUUGUGGGGAGAUUUUCUAAAAUUAUGCUAAAAUCCUGAUCCUUAACAACUUCUACCCAUCAGCCUUAAUAUUUGUGGAUGAUCCCUAUCUGAAUAAAUUAUAACCAUAAUAGUGUCAUAUGGUGGUUUGCUAUUUUCAUCAUUCCUUCUACAUUAAUUACUUGGUAUUCUACUGUAAGAAAGAAGUUCCACUGCUUCCUCUAUUUAUUUACUUAUUUAUUCAUUUAUUUAGUAGUAUGAAUUUCAAUUUAACAGGUUAAAAACCAUGCUUGUUCUUUGUGAAAGUAUAUAACGUUAUUAUCUUUAUCAGAGAAGAAAUGGUUCUGAACUUCUCAAGAAAGUAUACAAGCAGUAUAAAAAUGAGAUAAUUACACUUACUUAACAUACCUUAUUUUCAUCCAAAUAAACACGAAAAGAAUCCAACAUGAUAUUUGAAAUUCUACCAUAGGGUAUUUUACUAGAAAAAUAGAAUCUUGUGUUUUUGGUAAUGUUUGUUCAUAUCACAAAAUUACUGAGAAGCGAAACAUUUCUAAAUUCACAUUAGAACAUUGUAAUUCACAUUUGUGUUAGAAUGAUGGUUACCAGAGUCUGGGAAGGGUAGUGGAGUAGUAGAAUGGGGGAUGGUUAUUGGAUAUGAAAAUAUAGUUAGUUAGAAUGAAUAAGAUCUAGUAUUUGAUAGCACAACAGGGUAACUACAGUCAACAAUAAUUUAUUGUACAUUUAAAAAUAACUAUAAGACUAUAAUUAGAUUGUAACACAAAGAAAGGAUAAAUGUUUGAAGUGAUAGAUACCCCAUUUAUCCUGAUGUGAUUAUUACACAUUGUAUGCUUGUAUCAAAAUAUCUCAUGUACGCCAUACAUAUAUAUGCCUACUGUGUACUCACAAAAAUUAAAAAUUGUAAAAAUAAAUAAACAAAACAAAACAAAAU
rnacentral:lncRNA from 1 species